rnacentral:rRNA from 1 species
UAUCUGCAGUCGUACGCUUCUUUUUCCACCGGAGCUUGCUCCACCGGAAAAAGAAGAGUGGCGAACGGGUGAGUAACACGUGGGUAACCUGCCCAUCAGAAGGGGAUAACACUUGGAAACAGGUGCUAAUACCGUAUAACAAUCGAAACCGCAUGGUUUUGAUUUGAAAGGCGCUUUCGGGUGUCGCUGAUGGAUGGACCCGCGGUGCAUUAGCUAGUUGGUGAGGUAACGGCUCACCAAGGCCACGAUGCAUAGCCGACCUGAGAGGGUGAUCGGCCACAUUGGGACUGAGACACGGCCCAAACUCCAACGGGAGGCAGCAGUAGGGAAUCUUCGGCAAUGGACGAAAGUCUGACCGAGCAACGCCGCGUGAGUGAAGAAGGUUUUCGGAUCGUAAAACUCUGUUGUUAGAGAAGAACAAGGAUGAGAGUAACUGUUCAUCCCUUGACGGUAUCUAACCAGAAAGCCACGGCUAACUACGUGCCAGCAGCCGCGGUAAUACGUAGGUGGCAAGCGUUGUCCGGAUUUAUUGGGCGUAAAGCGAGCGCAGGCGGUUUCUUAAGUCUGAUGUGAAAGCCCCCGGCUCAACCGGGGAGGGUCAUUGGAAACUGGGAGACUUGAGUGCAGAAGAGGAGAGUGGAAUUCCAUGUGUAGCGGUGAAAUGCGUAGAUAUAUGGAGGAACACCAGUGGCGAAGGCGGCUCUCUGGUCUGUAACUGACGCUGAGGCUCGAAAGCGUGGGGAGCAAACAGGAUUAGAUACCCUGGUAGUCCACGCCGUAAACGAUGAGUGCUAAGUGUUGGAGGGUUUCCGCCCUUCAGUGCUGCAGCUAACGCAUUAAGCACUCCGCCUGGGGAGUACGACCGCAAGGUUGAAACUCAAAGGAAUUGACGGGGGCCCGCACAAGCGGUGGAGCAUGUGGUUUA